rnacentral:rRNA from 1 species
AGAGUUUGAUCCUGGCUCAGGAUGAACGCUAGCUACAGGCUUAACACAUGCAAGUCAGGGGAAACGACAUCGAAAGCUUGCUUUUGAUGGGCGUCGACCGGCGCACGGGUGAGUAACGCGUAUCCAACCUGCCCACCACUUGGGGAUAACCUUGCGAAAGUAAGACUAAUACCCAAUGAUAUCUCUAGAAGACAUCUGAAAGAGAUUAAAGAUUUAUCGGUGAUGGAUGGGGAUGCGUCUGAUUAGCUUGUUGGCGAGGUAACGACCCACCAAGGCGACGAUCAGUAGGGGUUCUGAGAGGAAGGUCCCCCACAUUGGAACUGAGACACGGUCCAAACUCCUACGGGAGGCAGCA